rnacentral:rRNA from 1 species
GUGAGGAAUAUUGGUCAAUGGGCGCAGGCCUGAACCAGCCAAGUAGCGUGAAGGAUGACUGCCCUAUGGGUUGUAAACUUCUUUUAUAUGGGAAUAAAGUUUUCCACGUGUGGAAUUUUGUAUGUACCAUAUGAAUAAGGAUCGGCUAACUCCGUGCCAGCAGCCGCGGUAAUACGGAGGAUCCGAGCGUUAUCCGGAUUUAUUGGGUUUAAAGGGAGCGUAGGUGGACAGUUAAGUCAGUUGUGAAAGUUUGCGGCUCAACCGUAAAAUUGCAGUUGAUACUGGCUGUCUUGAGUACAGUAGAGGUGGGCGGAAUUCGUGGUGUAGCGGUGAAAUGCUUAGAUAUCACGAAGAACUCCGAUUGCGAAGGCAGCUCACUGGACUGCAACUGACACUGAUGCUCGAAAGUGUGGGUAUCAAACAGGAUUAGAAACCCCGGUAGUCC